UGGGAAAGGGGAAACUCGUGCCUGGAGGCUCAUAAAACAGCCAGAUUUUCGGACAGUCUUUAGGGAUGCUGGGGAGUGCCGCCAUCCCCAAAUUCCUGCUGAAGGAAGGUACAUACAACCUGGGCAUCUCUCAGCUCGGUGGCUGCCCAUCCCCACACUGCAGUGGGGCGUCAGGUCCCUUCCGUGACCACUGAUGGGACGCAGGUGCCACCCACCAGAGUGUGUGUCCCCUCCCUGCCACCAGCAUCCCGCCGCCCAGCCGGGUACCACGAACGGCGCUGGGGACGAGGACGCGUCCCCAGCCUCGGGCCUCGCUCCAGCUGGGCGCUGUUUUGUAAGGACUCCUGGGCCUCUGCGGCGGAGAGAUAAGCCCAAGAAUUCGCCGUCAGUUCCAAAUAUCCCGUCCGCUUCCUCCCGCCGUCCUCGCCGCCGCUCCAGCCCGCUUGUCUCAUUUCCGCAGCAGCGUGCUGGGGAGCGCUUCCUGUUUUCCCCCCGGCCCCGGGGCGGCGGCGGGGGCCGAGGGGCGCGGGGAGGAAGGGCAGGACAAUGGGAGCAGGGCUUUUCUGUAAAUCAACCCAAGCUCCCUAGAGAGCAUCGUCUUUGUGCCGCAGUGGGAGCCCCUGCUCCAGCUGGGCAUGAGGACGGGAGUGAAGCCGGGUGGAGCACAGCCCUGGGAGGGGGGACCCUGCCCUUCAUGGGGCAGUGUGUCUCCUCACCGAAAAUCGCAUUUUAGGGUCCCUCCAGUCAAACCACCCACCACAACCUUCUUCUCCCCAGCCUCAGCACGGGAGAGCAGCAUCCCCACGGGACUGCCACCUCCCAGGAGCUGUGUCACGGGGCAGGAGGUCAGGAUGUGGCUACCCCAUCCCAAACUGCAGCUUUGAGACGAGGAGGAUCCAUUUCGGAGCUCUGCUCACUUGGAGCUCAGCGACCUCCUGCCACAGCGUGGCAGGAGUUAUUCAAAGGAGGGCGGAAGCGAGCGCAGCAACUGAAACAACAAUGAAAAGGAAACAGAGCUCGAAAAAUUCUCCGUUCAUAAAUCAACUGAACUGCAGGUGAUCCCUGGGCAGGAGCGAGCUGAGGAAGAGACACGGCUCGGCUCGGCAUGGCCAGCAGCCAGGCAGGCUCCGGCCCCCCAGGCAGGGAUGGGGGAGGCCGGGAUUUCCCAGGGUGGUCCUGAGUGGUGCUGGGAUCCGUGUCCAUGUCCCCGGGGCUGCACAUCAGGGACUUUGAGGCAGGAAAUAGAGCUGCUGGAUUGGGAUGAGCUCCUCAGUGCUGGCAGCAUCUCUGCAUGGGCAGGGGAUGGGCAUGGUUGGAAAAAAAUCUCCCCCUCCUGCCUCCAGUUGUGUCCUGCAGCAUCUUGCUGCAGGCAGGACGGGGGCCAGUUUGGACAAACCUAGCUGUCCCCUCCUAGCUGUGUCCUCUGCCAGCUCCUGUAAGCUGAGACCCAGUCCUGGGGACACCAAAAGGAAUUUAUGCUUUUGGGACCAGUGGAUGGCCCCAAGGACCAGGCUGGUGGCAGUGGGCUGACCUUACAGCAGAGGAAAUGAUCCAGUUGUGUUCCCCGCACUGGGAAAGCCAGGAGAGAUUGCAUGUCCCCUUCUGCUGCUAUCCGUCCUCCCUCCUGUGAAUUCCCUGUCAUCUUGUCUUUUGGCAGAGCUGGAAAACUGGGAGACCACCGUAAAUAAAUCCUGUGUCUUUAAGCCGUUUUGUACAGUACAAGAAAAUGCACUCGUUGAAUUACAGCUUUUUAAUCAAAUACAUGUAACCAUGUCACUUAAAGUGCUCGCGAAAAGCAAGGAAAAAAAAAACCCAACACAAUUGGAAGAGUACGAUAUUAAAACCAGCUGCCUGCUUACCCCCACCACAGUUAAUAGUUUUUGAAUGUUCUGAAUGAGAGAGAAACCAGAGCCAAGCUCCACUUUCAUGUCCAUCUUUCUGAUCAAGCCCUGUCAGACGGGGGGGCCGGGCAGCCUGGCACAGAGGCGGGGGAUGCGGGAGGGCUGCACUCCCUUGUCCUGCUGCUUUGCCCAUCCCUUCGGGCUUUCUCCCUGUGCUGAUGGGAUGUGAGAACCCGUCUUCCUGCCUGCCUGGGACCCAACCUGGAGAUGGGAGCACAGGUUGCCCAAGUCAUGCAGAGGUGAGGGAUGCUGCUCUGUGACAUCACCAACACGUUAUGUGUCCCCUCCUGACCAAAUUUUACCCAAUUCUACCUCUUGAUGCUUCUUCCUGCAAGCUGGCAUCACCGCUCAUCCCCCAGAGGCACUGCACUACCUACAGCAUCCCUUCCUCAGAGCAUGCCAGCACAGUCCAUGGUGUCACAUCCCUGUGCCCCAUUCCCUUGGGACACACAUGCCAGGACCACCUCAACGCCUGCCUCCAGCCUCACCGGCCACCGACCCCCCGGCCAGCACAGCCUGCCAACCACCCGAGCUGCGCAGUUCCCCCGCAACGUGGACCAACGCUCAUUAAGCAUGAGGCAGAGACCACCAAAUAUGUCAAAACACACUUAAAAUUUAUUGUUUCAUACCAUACGUUUGAGUCUCUUGAACGCUGGCCAGUGUUUCUCCCACUCCGUGAUGGGGCCUAUCUGCUGUCACCGAUCCUUCGCGUAUAUGUAUAGCCCGCUUGCUUGCUGGCUUUUUUUUCCCUCCCCCUUCUUUCUUUAAAUGCAAAAUACAAACAAUUG